rnacentral:rRNA from 1 species
UUUUGGAGUGAUUUGUCUGGUUAAUUCCGAUAACGAACGAGACUCUAGCCUGCUAAAUAGUUCGGGGACCCCCACAAAGGGGCCCCGCUUUAACUUCUUAGAGGGACAGGUGGCGUUUAGCCACACGAGAUUGAGCAAUAACAGGUCUGUGAUGCCCUUAGAUGUCCGGGGCCGCACAUGCGCUACAAUGAACGGUUCAACGUGCUUAUUGCCUUGCCCGAGAGGGCUGGGAAAUCCGCUGAACCCCGUUCGUACCAGGGAUUGGGGAUUGCAAUUGUUCCCCAUGAACGAGGAAUUCCCAGUAAGCGCGAGUCAUUAGCUCGCGUUGAUUACGUCCCUGCCCUUUGUACACACCGCCCGUCGCUACGACCGAUUGUUCCAGUUAAUGAGCGAUAUGGAUGAGUCCCGUGAUCGGCUUGUCCGUGAUCGUUGGGCUGAGAAGUUGGACAAAUUAUCUGGGGUAGAGGACGUAAAAGUCGUAACAAGGUUUCCGUAGGU